GAGUUUGAUCAUGGCUCAGGAUUAACGCUGGCGGCAUGCCUAAUACAUGCAAGUCGAACGGAGUAGCAAUACUUAGUGGCGAACGGGUGAGUAACACGUAUCUAAUCUACCAUUUAGUGGGGAAUAACUGUUGGAAACGACAGCUAAUACCGCAUAAUAUUGCUGGAUAAUUUCCAGUAAUGAAAGGAGCUUUCAAGCUCCGCUGAUUGAUGAGGAUGCGGCGCAUUAGCUAGUUGGUAGGGUAAUGGCCUACCAAGGCAAUGAUGCGUAGCCGAUCUGAGAGGAUGAACGGCCACAUUGGGACUGAGACACGGCCCAAACUUCUACGGAAGGCAGCAGUAGGGAAUUUUUCACAAUGGGCGAAAGCCUGAUGGAGCAAUGCCGCGUGACUGAUGAAGGUCUUCGGAUUGUAAAGGUCUGUUGUAAGGGAAGAAAUGGUAAAACAGGAAAUGGUUUUAUCUAUGACGGUACCUUACCAGAAAGCCACGGCUAACUAUGUGCCAGCAGCCGCGGUAAUACAUAGGUGGCAAGCGUUAUCCGGAUUUAUUGGGCGUAAAGGGUGCGUAGACGGUUUUGCAAGUCUGAGGUUAAAUUUAGGAGCUCAACUCCUAAUCGCCUUGGAAACUACAAGACUAGAGUAUAGGAGAGGUUAGUGGAAUUCCAUGUGUAGCGGUGGAAUGUGUAGAU
rnacentral:rRNA from 1 species